rnacentral:lncRNA from 1 species
AAAAAAACAAUUUGAGGUGUGAUUAGCACAGCUGAGGAACAGAAUUUCUCAUUUUAGUAAAUUAAGUAGUCACAGUGUGGUUACUGUAUUGGAUACUGCAGGUCAGGAAAUGUUUACUGAAUGGAAACAAACAUGAAUGUGCCAGUGUAUGAAGAUAAGGGAUGAUUUGAAAGCAAUGUAGAGUACAGAGGAAGUAGAAAGUAGUGGACUCUUGAGAGCCAACCCUCAAGGCCAUCUAUGUCAACUCCCAUCCAGGUCUUAAAGUCCUUCUCCAGCAUUUCAUUGUUGUAGGGAAAAAUCUUUUUAUUCUGAAUGUUCUCCUUAUAACUUCCACCCUUAGGACCUUUGGUACUGUGACCCAAGGAGUGAAUCACUCUACCUACAAAGAAUCCACUCAAAUAUUAUGGCUGUCUUUCCAGAACAUUCACUUCUGCAAGCCAAACAAUUCUUCAUAAUACAAUUUGCUGCUAGAAGGUGGUGUUGGGGACAUUGCUCAAUUUCAUCUAUAAGGGGGAGAUAAUGUUGUGCCUACCUCACAGGGCUGUUGUGAGGACCAAAUGAGAAAAUGUAUGUGGAGGUGCUGAGGACAGAGCCCUGCAUUUAGUAAAUGUUCAUUAUUGUCAACAAAGGAACGUUCUUUGUGUUAUAUUUUAGAGGAGGAGUUUGUGUUGGUCCAUCAGGACUCUAGGGAAAAAGCAAGUGAAAAGCAGGUGAAUCUACACUUAAGAUUAAGAAUUACAUUCUGUUAGGAUGUCUUCGUUCAAAAAGUAAACUGUCACAGCAGACACACCUACAGGUACUCAAUUUCAUGAAGACAAAAUACAGUAUAGGUGAACUCUAACUUAUGGUCUUUAUCCUCCCUGUGCUGUGCUCUGGUGUGUGCAUGUGCCCGUGCCUCCCUGCCUCUGUGGUAACUUGUUUGUAAGUGUUCUGGGUUUGCCCUCAUCUUUCCAGUGACAACUAAGGAUUCUCAAAAGCAUUUAUAUUGGGCUGGAUGUAACGCUGGUAGAGUGCUUGCCUAGCAUGUGCCAGGCCCUAGGUCCACAAGUCACUGCAAUGUUUACGGUUUUAACCAAGACUUGAGCCCAAGUGUUUGGAGUUUAUAGUUUUCUUUUUUUUUUAUAUGACUUUUUUUUAAUUAGUUACACAUGACAAUACAAUGAUCUUGACAUUUCAUACAUUUGAAUCAAAUGGAGUAUAAUUUCUUAUUUCUGAUUGUACGGGUUGCAGAAUCACAUUGGUUAGGGUUUAUAGUUUUCUAUUUUGAUAUUGCUAUGAUUACUGUUAUCAGUAUUUUUUUAAUCUUUUUUUUCUUUUUUAGUCGUAGAUGGACACAAUAUUUUUAUUUUAUUUUUAUGUAUUGCUGAGGAUCGAACCUAGUGACUUCCACGUACGAGGCGAGCACUCUACCACUGAGUCACAACCCCAGCCCCUUAUCAGUAUUUUCUUUAUUGUCUUUGGCUCAUUGUUUAAUCAGUCACUCUCCAGCUCGAUAGCCCUCAAAGAUGUUAUAAAAUCUAACCCUUCAUCUCACCUGCCAGAUGCCAGCGUGGAUCAGCGCUGACUCAGUGCUUGUUCCUGCCCAGCAGCUGAGCAAGCCAGAGGAAAAUGGCCCCUGCCACUCUCAACACUGCUCAUCAUCAGCUCCCAUCAGUGCCUCCUCUCACUGCCCACACCCACUGGUCCGGGGUUGGCGCUCACUCCUCAGGGGUUCAACAGUACCGCUUAGCGGGGAGGCAUUCACUAAGGAGGCAAUGGGGGGGGGGGGACAGCAGCCCAGUUUUUAUACACAUGCUGGCAUCCUUACACCCUGCUGUUCCCCACUCAGCCCACCAUCUGGGCUUUGCUAUUCCAGGAUCCUGCUCCUACAAUUCGCUACUUGCUUUUGCCUCCAAACACCCUCUGGUUCAUCUCAGGAAAAACCCCAACCUUGACCCCAUAUCCUCUUUAGCAGCAACCAGUCUAGAAAGAACACAGCUCUCUUGUUCACACCACUUCAGUUUCCACCCUCUUACCAACCCAGAGCAGACAAUCUUCUCCUUCAUUUCUCCCCAGAAGGUGUUCUCUAUGAUCAAUCAAAUUGUUUUAAAUAGUUCAAUGCUCUUUACAAACCCUUUGUCUUAGGCCUGUCAAUGUAACAACACAAGUCUUUGAUCACCUGUGUAUUCAAGUUGAAACCUCAAGGUGAAACCAAUGAUUUCUCAAAUAGUUCAGAUUCUUGUAAAUAUUCCCAAGGCUUAAAGUAACAUACAUAUCGGGUUCUCCUGAGGCUAAUAUGUUUUCCUAUACUUUUAAAUAAUUAUUUCAACUGUAUCUCUUCUAUGGUCGUGUGAAGUUUUGUGUUUUUUCAUCAAAUUUUAACUGAGAUUUUUGUUGGAAAAAUAAGAAUGGCAAAUAAUAAUGAAAUGCAAAUAAAAAUAUUUUUUCAAAUGUGUAUGAUUGA